UACGAAGGGUGCAAGCGUUAAUCGGAAUUACUGGGCGUAAAGCGUGCGUAGGCGGUUUGUUAAGUCUGUUGUGAAAUCCCCGGGCUCAACCUGGGAAUUGCAUUGGAUACUGGCAGGCUAGAGUGCGGUAGAGGGUAGUGGAAUUCCCGGUGUAGCAGUGAAAUGCGUAGAGAUCGGGAGGAACACCAGUGGCGAAGGCGACUACCUGGACCAGCACUGACACUGAGGCACGAAAGCGUGGGGAGCAAACAGG
rnacentral:rRNA from 1 species